rnacentral:rRNA from 1 species
AAUCAACGCUGGCGGCGUGCCUCAGACAUACAAGUCGAACGAUUAAAGCUCUCUUCGGAGAGUGUAUAGAGUGGCGCACGGGUGAGUAACACGUAAGUAAUCUACCUUUGAGUGGGGAAUAACGUCCGGAAACGGACGCUAAUACCGCAUAAUGCAGCGGCAUCGCAAGAUGACAGUUGUUAAAGAUUUAUCGCUUGAAGAGGAGCUUGCGGCAGAUUAGCUAGUUGGUAAGGUAAUGGCUUACCAAGGCUACGAUCUGUAACCGGUCUAAGAGGACGGUCGGUCACACUGACACUGAACAACGGGUCAGACUCCUACGGGAGGCAGCAGUCGGGAA